GUUAAAAAAAAAAAAAGACAUUUUAAUUUUUUGUUAGUCAACAUAUUUUUGUUAGUUAUAACUUAUAAUGGUAUUCGUUAUUCUAUUUCAAUUUAUUAAUUUGAAUUUCCAAUCAGAGGGAAAACAACUUCUUCACUAGAACGGAUCACAUAUCAUUGUUAAAAUCUUUCAUCACACAAUGGGGGGAUUAAAUAAAAAACGGACAAAAAAAAAACCAUAUUCUUCAUUUUCUCGACAUGUCCUCUUACAACUGUACUGAGAAAUAAAAAAACAAACCUAUUAUCGAGAAAAAGAUUAUGAGACAACUAGAUGGUAAAUAGUUCUCAAGGUGAAGUGAGGCUAUUGGGGAAAACGCAGGCGAUGAAUUUCCGAGGAGCGAUAUCACCUCACUAUAGUAGUGAGAAAAUAAAAAAAUAUAGUAAAGAAUUCGAAAACGUAUCUAUGGCGUAAACAUCGACAGCCUCGCGUUUUGCUUUUAUCCACUCCUUUCUAGAGAGAAACGAUGCAAAGACGUAUCCGUGCAGCCAGUUCAUUCCAUUUUUACUGUUCAUCUGUGAUGGUGUUGUAACCAAAUAAAUCCGAAUUUUGAUUUUAGUAAAUUGUCGCAAUAGAUCAUCGCUGAGUCGUCACAGUUCGUUAUUUGAAUCCUUAAAUAAAAGGUUGUGACGUUGUGGCCUAGACCAAGCUGGACGGGGUCGCGUUGGACGAGAGGCGAAAAAUCUCCCAACGGGGUAGGCAUAUGGGUGGAAAAAACCCGACCCGGAUAACGGCCCGGGUUAUAAAGUCGGCAUUUCACCGUGGAGACCAUUUCUGUCACAUUCGUUCAACACCACACCCACGUUCAACUUUUGCGAAAUUUCCAUAAAUCGAUUGAUUACCGCAUUACCGCACCACAUACACAUACUUUGUAAAAUUUGCUUUUUAAAAAUGGUGCUGAAUGUGAACUUUAACAAUAAUAAAUGAUUGUUAAAGUUCACAAUUUAGAAACUCGAUUUUAACUAGCAACAUUUUACAGAAUAUGAUACCGGUAUGUGAGAAGUUAUUUCAGAUUGUGGCGUUUUCAGAACACAGCAAAGAUAUUGGUGAAAGAAAUUUUAAAAGUUGUUGGAAAUCGGCGCUCUUGUAGGAUAAACAAAAGAGAAAUAAGGGUGCUGUUUUUACGGUUGGAUAGUGGCGUCCAGUGCUGUUGUAGUGCGUGAUGAGUUGAUCAGAGGCGUUGAACGGUCUGAAGAUUGAUGGCUCGCAAAUGCUGCAAUUCUCAUUGAAAGUCGGUUCUGGCGAUAUUUCACCGGAUUUUGUUCGAUUUUCUCCAUAAGAAAAAACCCUUGAUGGUUUCUCCCUCCAGCAACACGAAGGCGACGAGAGGACCUCCGAUGGUGUCUCCUUGGUGGAAGCUCUGAUAGCUGAGAGUGAUUUCCCCAAUUAGUGGAGUCAAGAUAUGAAAAAAGGGGGGUUAUCGGGAACAAAUUGCAACACGA